rnacentral:tRNA from 1 species
GCCGGAGUAACUCAGUGGUAGAGUAACUGUUUUGUAAACAGUAAGUCGUGGGUUCAAGUCCCUCCUCCGGCUCCA